rnacentral:tRNA from 1 species
GCUUCCAUAGCUCAACUGGUCAGAGCUACCGCCUCUUAAGCGGAGGGUUGAAGGUUCAAGUCCUUCUGGGAGUACCA